rnacentral:lncRNA from 1 species
AUGCUCUUAAAUAGAGCUCUGUUAUGAAUCUGCAUUUUGGUAAUGUUACGUCGCUCAUGCCGUUAUGCAUUUACGUUUGCAAGAGUUUUGGUGCAGCUUGAUGUCGUUUUAAUUACCGCGGCAUGAGGCUUAUUCAUGAGCUGCCUUUUGUUUUCAUUGCUUAUGUAGUGCAUUUUCAAUUUCUGUUUCUACAAUGCGUUUGCCGUUGUAGCUUGGCUUUGUAGCUCUUGGUUCAUGGCUGCGUUGGUCG